AUUGAACGCUGGCGGCAGGCCUAACACAUGCAAGUCGAGCGAGCGGCGGACGGGUGAGUAAUGUAUGGGGAACUGCCUGAUGGAGGGGGAUAACUACUGGAAACGGUAGCUAAUACCGCAUACCAUCGGAUGUGCCCAUAUGGGAUUAGCUAGUAGGUGAGGUAAUGGCUUACCUAGGCGACGAUCCCUAGCUGGUCUGAGAGGAUGACCAGCCACACUGGGACUUAGACACGGUCCAGACUCCUACGGGAGGCAGCAGUGGGGAAUAUUGCACAAUGGGCGCAAGCCUGAUGCAGCCAUGCCGCGUGUAUGAAGAAGGCCCUAGGGUUGUAAAGUACUUUCAGUCGGGAGGCGUUACCGGCAGAAGAAGCACCGGCUAACUCCGUGCCAGCAGCCGCGGUAAUUC
rnacentral:rRNA from 1 species